CGCGUAGGUGGUAGUGUAAGUCUGGGGUGGAAUCCCAGGGCUUAACCCUGGAACUGCCUUGGAAACUGCAUUACUUGAGUCAGUGAGGGGAGGGUAGAAUUCCUGGUGUAGCGGUGAAAUGCGUAGAUAUCAGGAGGAAGGCCUGUGGCGAAGGCGGCCCUCUGGCGCUGGACUGACACUGAGGCGCGAAAGCGUGGGGAGCAAACAGGAUUAGAUACCCUGGUAGUCCACGCCCUAAACGGUGGGCACUAGGUGUAGGGCUCGUAAGGGUUCUGUGCCGAAGGGAAACCAUUAAGUGCCCCGCUGGGGAGUACCGGCCGCAAGGUUGAA
rnacentral:rRNA from 1 species